GACGAACGCUGGCGGCGUGCUUAACACAUGCAAGUCGAACGAAUUUGCGAACGGGUGAGUAACGCGUAAUCAACCUGCCCUUCAGAGGGGGACUACAGUUGGAAACGACUGCUAAUACCCCAUACUGAAGGCGGGGAUUGCGUCUGAUUAGCUAGUUGGAGGGGUAACGGCCCCCCAAGGCGAUGAUCAGUAGCCGGUGGGGGAGGAGGAACGGCCAAAUUGGGACUGGGACACGGCCCAGACUCCGACGGGAGGAAGGAGUGGGGAAUCUUCCGAAAUGGAAGAAAGUCUGACGGAGCAACGCCGCGUGAGUGAUGACGGCCUUCGGGUUGUAAAGCUCUGUUAAUCGGGACGCGGUACCGGAAUAGAAAGCCACGGCUAACUACGUGCCAGCAGCCGCGGUAAUAC
rnacentral:rRNA from 1 species